ensembl:lncRNA
AUGACCUCGAGAAGCAACCCCAGAACAGAACAAUAUUGAAAUUGUUUUUUGGACUGUUGGGUGGAUACCUCAUUGCCAUAACUGGCCACCGAAAGGGAGUGGUCAUCAACAUGACUACUGAGGAGGUUGAAAUGGCAGAAAAAACUAAGCAGGGUGCCCGCAUCAUCCGUGUAAGUAGGAAAACUAUAAAAAUCCAAGUAUACAUUGUUUAGUCACCUGCUCAGAGAGAAUAAACAUGUCUUUUCAUGUAUUAGGUUAAACAGCACAAAACUCAAAGAUACCAUGGGGAAGCAGCUGUCCCCCUGUACAAGAAUGAGUAUACCUGGUUGCAGCGUUACAAUCAUAUUAGAGAGUAUAUUGAAGGGGGUUCGGAGGCAUCAACUUUUUUCCACAGUUCCAGUGGAGGUGUUCUUCAUAGACUACUGGAAUUUUUCAAGGCAGCCUGGGAGAUGAUGAAUCUGGGGAUUGCCCCCACCUUCAACAUGAUACGUUCCUCCUGUAGCACUUACGCCAAGCGACAGUUGGGACGUAAAUCUUAUGACAGAGUGGCAACGUUUAUGUGCCAUGAUGCCAUCACAGCCAAAAGAUUUUACCAAGGUUAUUUAAACAAGCUAAAGUGAAGUCAUAUAUUUAUCUAUACACUUACAUUUAUUCAUAUUUAGUAAUAUUGCUUUGCACAGCUGAGGACCCUGCAGAGGACACACUCCAGAGCCGAGCACUGACCACCCAUGCAAUUGCAACAUAUGCAGCAAAGAAAAGGAAAAGGACAGAGGACAGAGGAUCUGUGCAGGACAAGGACAGUGAAGGAUCUGACAAGGAAGAGCAGCAGUCAUCAGGAACAGAGGAGCUUUUAGACAGAAGGCUCUUCCAGUGUAACAGUAACAAGAUGGUCAUCUUUUACAAAAAUGAUAGGACAGGUGUGGGGAAACUCACACAAGAAGACAAUCCACAAGAGGAGGAGGAGGAUGAAGCGAGAGAAUGGGUUCCUAAGCAGUCUGUUAGCUCAUCUGAAGAUGAUGGGACAGAUGACUGGACACCCACACAGGAUGAAUCUGAAGGCUAUUCAGAAGAGGAGGAAGAACAAGAACAUAAAAGGAUUCCUAAGGUAGCCAAGAAAAACAAAACUGGGUGUCCUGUGCCACAAAGAGAGAUGGCAGCAGCAUCUGAAGAGGAUGGGACACAUGAUAGCAGACCCACACAGGAUGAUUCAAAGGAUGAAGCAGAACAUUUGGGACAAAUGAUUCACAAAGUGUCCAUGGAAAAGGACAGGGAAACGGCGAUAAGCUUAUUACCAGUACAACACCAAAUUCCAGUUGUUACUCUGAAUUCAGUCACUCUCAAGACACCCAUGAUGCAGCAGGCCUAUGUAAACCAAGACACAGCAAGGACUGUGAAUAAGAGUUCAGAAAAAAGUGUGAUUCACCAAACCAGUUACUUGAAGAGGCUCAUUUUUCAUCAGUCAACUCUCUUUGAAGACACCAUACCAAGAUCUGAUAACAACAAGAAAGACCAAAGUGGAAUGUCAUCUGCAGCAAUAAUAACCUCAGAACAACUGGAAGAGAAAGAGAUACAAGAAGAAUCUCUGGAGAAGAUGAAGUGUGAAGACAAAGGAGGGAAGAGAAAAGAAAAAGUACAGCAGGAGCCUCUGGAGAAGAUGAGGGGCAAAAGGCAAAGGAAGGAAGAAAAGAUACAGGCAGAGCCUCUGGAGAAGAUGAAGAGUGAAGCCAAAGUAGGAAAGAGAAAAGAAAAAGUACAGCAGGAGCCUCUGGAGAAGAUGAGGAGCAAAAGGCAAAGGAAGGAAGAAAAGAUACAGGCAGAGCCUCUGGAGAAGAGAAUUAAGAUUAUGAAAUAAAAGAAGGAAAAAUCCACAGAGUUCUCAAAGAAAUGGCGAGAGAAAGUCUCAGAAAAUAAGGUGCAUGAAAGAGUUGUUAAUUAAAAGUGAUCAUCUAAUGAGUUACUGUCAUGUUUAUUUUCUGGAAUCACUGGUGCUCUCAGACUUGACAUUAUAUAAUUCCACCAUAUGUGAGAUCAGUCAAAUUAAGAAAGGAAUCAAAAUAGCUAUACCAAUGGCUGCAGAAAAGUGACAGUGGUCAAACAACAUCAUUGAGCAUGACAAAACACUUUUGAAGACAGCAGUCUCCAGAUACCUCAUCAUUGAAGACAAAUGACACACAUCUAUUGUGGAGAAAAUUCGGUUCAAAUCAAUUUUAUUUAUAUAGCGGCAAAUCACCACAACAUUCGCCUCAAGGCACUUUAUAUUGUAAGGUAGACCCUACAAUAAUACAUACAGAUAUAAACCCAACAAUCAUAUGACCCCCUAUGAGCAAGCACUUUGGCGACAGUGGGAAGGAAAAACUCCCUUUUGACAGGAAGAAACCUCCAGCUGAACCAGGCUCAGGGAGGGGCGGGGCCAUCUUCUGCGACCGGUUGGGCUGAGAGAAGGAAGACAGGAUAAAGACAGAAGAGAGACAGAGAUUAAUAACAGAUAUGAUUCAAUGCAGAGAGGUCUAUUAAUACAUGGUUAGUGAGAAAGGUGACUGAAGAAGAAAUGCUCAAUGCAUCAUUGGAAUCCCCCAGCAGCCUACACCUACAGCAGCAUGACUAAGGGAGGAUUCAGGGUCACCUGAUCCAGUCUUAACUAUAUACUUUAGCAAAAUGGAAAGUUUUAAGCCUAAUCUUGAAAGUAGAGAUAGUGUCUGUCUCCAAAAUCCAAACUGGUUCCACAGAAGAGGGGCCUGAAAAGUGAAGGCUCUUCCUCCCAUUCUACUUUUAAAUACUCUAGGAGCAACAAGUAAGCCUGCAGUGCGAGAGCAAAGUGCUCUAAUAGGGUGAUAUGGUACUACAAGGUCAUUAAGAUAAGAUGAGGGCCUGAUUAUUUAAGACCUUGUAUGUGAGGAGCAGGAUUGUUAAAUUCAAUUCUGGAUUUAACAGGAGCCAAUGAAGAGAAGCCAAAACAGGAGAAAUAUGCUCUCUCUUUCUAGUCCCUGUCAGUACUCUUGCUGCAGCAUUUUGGAUUAAAUGAAGGCUUUUCAGGCAGUUUUUAGGACAUCCUGAUAAUAAUGAAUUACAGUAGUCCAGCCUAGAAGUAAUGAAUGCAUGAACUAGUUUUCCAGCGUCGCGCUGAGACAGGAUAUUUCUAGAGAUGUUGCGCAAAUGAAAGAAAGCAGUCCUACAUAUUUGUUUAAUAUGUGCAUUGAGGACAUAUCCUGGUCAAAAAUUACUUCAAGGUUCCUCACAGUGUCACUAGAGGCCAAGGUAAUGCCAUCCAGAGUAAGAAUCUGGUUAGAUACCAUAUUUCUAAAAUUUUCAGGGCUGAAUACAAUAACUUCAGUUUUAUCUGAAUUUAGAAGCAGAAAAUUAGAGGUCAUCCAGGUCUGCCCUGGGACAAACUUGUUGGACUUACAACAGAUGGAGCGCCCACAAUGUGUGGUGAAAAAAGUGAACUAUUCGGCAGGAUUCGAGUAAAAGAUGCAGGAUGUGAACUAUACGGGUGAGUUAACAGCAUAUCACUGCAUCACACACCAGCAAACGCUGUGUAGUAAAGUCCUAAAAAUGGAGCAUGUAAUGAGUACUGUAACGCAAAAGGUCAAUUUUAUUCUAGCUAAAGGUUUAAAUUACUGUCAAUUUCAGUCUUUUGUGCAGGAAAUAGAUUCAGAGUUUGCCGACAUGCCUUAUCAUACAGAGGUCCAUUGGCUGAGUUGGGGAAAAGUUCUCAAUAGUGUGUGGUGGCAGAUUUCUUUUCUCAUAUAUUAAUCACAUAUUUAAUUAUAUCACAUUAGUUAUAGUAAUAUCACUUUCUCACUUUACCAUAGUAAGAGCACUCCUGCCCAGGUAGAUGUUAUUUUAUAUAUUAUGAUUUGUAUGUUGUUCAGUAUAUUUCUAUGCAAAACAAGAGGAAUUUCAAUACACAGCAGUAUAUUCACAGUUUAAACCAGAUAUUUACAUACACUUUAUGGAAAACACAAGAACAUUUUUUUACUGUACAACAUCAAUUUAGAGUAAACUUGUUUUGUUUUGGAUAAAUAUUGAAAUAUCUUUUGAAUUAGUUAAAUGUCAGAAUAAAGAGAGACAGAGCUGUCUAUUUUUAUCACUUUCAUCAAGUUUAGAAGUACAUAUACACUAAGUUUAUUGUUCAUUAAUAAGAAAACUGCAGACGAUUCCAUUCUGAGCUUAAGAAGCUUCUGAUAGGUUAGUAGAGUCCAUGUGAGUAAAUUGAUGGCACACCUGUGCCAUCAAUUUACAUAUAAGGUAAGGUGUUUUGCCUUGUGCAUAUAAGGCAAAACACAGAGCCUGUUUCUUUGACAUGGGAAAAUCAAGAGAUGUCAACCAAAACACCAGGAAAAGAAUUGUGGAGCUCCAUAAGUGUGGCUCAAUUUUGAAUACAAUUUGGUGCCAUUUACAAUUAAGAAAUACAGAUAGUUUCUGUCUUUACUCUUAAAGUUAACAAAUAUGUUUUUUAUGUUUAUCAAUCUAAAAAAAAAUAAACAUUUAGUCUGAUUUGAUGUUACAAUUAAAAAAGUGUGUUUUUAUCUGAAGAGUAUGUAAAUAUCUGGUUUCAACUGUAUAUUUGAUGAUGUUGGUGUUUGGCUUGAUUGUCAGCACAAAGAGGGAGAGAGAGGAACAGAGACGGAGAGAGAGGAAGAGAGAGGGAGAGAGAGGAGCAGAGAGGGAACAAGAGCAGGUGAGACAGACAUGUUAGUCAAAUGGUUGUUUACCAAAAGUAUCACCGUAUCAUAGGUACUCAUGUAUCUCGUACCUAGUGUUUCUUUUUAGGUGUGUUAGUUUUCAAAUUCUAUAUUUAUUAAGUUAUGCAGGCUUGUUUGCACAACAAGGCUAAAUAAUUAUGUAAACUUUUCUGAAUCUAAAUAGUGUACUUUGGUAGAAUUAAAAAACAAGUGUAGUGCAGGUCUAUGAUGAUUUUCAGUGCUACUAUCAUCUAGUUUUGAUUCUGGUUCUGUUUUGGUUGAGUCCUAAGUAGUCCUGAUUUUGAACUGAUGUAGUCCUGUUUUAAUUCCGGAUCAGUUCUGGGUCUGGUUGAAUUGAGGCUCAGUCCUCGUGUCUUGAUACAGCCCCGACUUUGUUCUGCCUUGCUGCUUAAUUAAAAAACUAGUUUAAGGUGUCCUGCAUAUGUGAUAUAUAUUUUUCCCUAUAUGAAGUCAUUCUUUUUUGAACAAAACUCAAAACAGAGCCUAUUACUCUUUCAGUCAUUACUCCCCCCACCCCCCACCCCAAUCUCACAUGCAUACUACCCUUUAUGGCUAAUCCCCGGGUGUAUCAAAUGUCUGCCUCCGCCUCUGCUCCUGCCACUACUUUACAGGCAUGUGGAAAGUUAACACAGUGAGGCCAUUGUAAUGGGAUACAUUAAACAGAUAGUGAGAUACUCUAGGUUGCAGGACAAGAGUUUAACCUUUGUGAAGGGAAAAAAAAAGAGAUUCUGGUUUGACCAACC